UACGGGGGGGGUAAGCGUUGUUCGGAAUUACUGGGCGUAAAGGGCUCGUAGGUGGCCAACUAAGUCAUACGUGAAAUCCCUCAGCUUAACUGGGGAACUGCGUCUGAUACUGGAUGGCUUGAGAUUGGGAGAGGGAUGCGGAAUUCCAGGUGUAGCGGUGAAAUGCGUAGAUAUCUGGAGGAACACCGGUGGCGAAGGCGGCAUCCUGGACCAACACUGACGCUGAGGAGCGAAAGCCAGGGGAGCAAACGGGG
rnacentral:rRNA from 1 species